CGCUUUACCCCCCUUGGAAAAAAUCCUGGGAACGCCCAUGGUCACAGCCGGCAGAUGGCAGGCUCGAGAAAUAAUUGUAGCCUAUCGGGGAAGCAAAAACGUAGUUAUAGGCGUCUGUCAGUGUCUGUGAUAAAGAAGUUGAAUCCUUGAAAGUGUGCAUCGGCGGCAGAACUUGGCCAGUGAGUUCCAGAGGCCGGAAGACACAGGAAGAAACAAUAUAAAGAGACCGGUAGCCAUGCAUAAGGCGUGAAGGAGCGUGAGGAUACAGUUGCAUCGAUUUCAUGCAAGAUGCCGGCUAAUUAUAUGGCGAGUAACAUGGCUGUUUUUUUGUUUUUUUUUACAUAACGUGGCGAUAUUGUGAUCACGAUCUGUAUGAACGGGAAUGAUCUGGAUAUGGCACCUUGUCACGUUCUUUCAUUAUUUGAACUGCUGAUGCAGGCAUGUACGAUAAAGUCCACAUAGAAAUAAAGUUUUUUGGGUGCA